CUGCGCCCCCUCCCUCCCCGAGUUUGCACACGUGGACAUACCACACACGGUGUCCGCCUCUUGCACCCGCUGUCCUCUGCCGGCACCCGAGUCACCAAAGCCUCGUCUGUUCUAGAAACCGCAGAAUUGGAGGGCGGUGUAUUCAGACUCAGCGACCACGGAACUAGACAACAUGAAUUCCCACUCCACCUCUAGAAGAAAUUCUGUGCACAGUUCCCGGCAAGUUAUUUGACCUGAUGAAAACCAUGUUUCAAAUGGGAUGAUACCCCUUCUACCCUGUGAGGACACAGCCGGAAGGCACCUGCUGUGAACAGGGAGGAAGGUGUGAACUAGAACUUGACCACGCUGGUACCCUGCUCUCGGACUUACCGUCCUCCAGAAAUGCUGGAAUCCAGGCACUGUGGUGAAUUCUCGCUCCACCCACCAAGCUGUGGGUUCUGUCCACUCAGAGGAAAGGACACCUUUCUCCUUACACAAAAUACAUGUUCCCUGGCCGCGCUCCCACGGAGCUGUGCAUCUGUAAUAGUGUAUCUUUUUCGAAUUUGUCUGUCUAGAGGGGGUACCCUGUUUUUUGUGCAAAGCUACCUUCCAUUUGACCGAGACACGCACUUGCCUAAAGUAGACUCUCCUUAACAUUUGCAAAAAGGCACUUUAGACUGUCAAACUAAGAUUCGUAUAAAGGCACAGAGGUAGCCUGGCGGUAAACCGGCUUCAACCCCGCAGAUGAGGACCCCUGUGAGAAGCAGUGUGCCAAGAUGGGCUGUACCUGGUUCCCCGGGGAGCAGAGCUACCCUGACAGACAAGACCUCUCACCUCCAGACCA